UAUAAACCCGUCCUACCAUCUU
rnacentral:siRNA from 1 species